GUAUCCCGUUGAAACACCAGUCCACCGAAGUUAAGCAACAUCGAGCCUAGUCAGUACCUAGAUGGGUGACUACCUGGGAAUACCAGUUGCUGUAAG